UACAGAGGUCCUCAAGCGGUUGUUUCGGAUUCAUUGGGCGUAAAGGGUGCGUACGGCGGCGCGGUAAGUACGGGUUGUCGAAAUCAUCGGAGCUUAACGUCCGAAACUGCAUUCGAUACUGCCGUGCUUGAGGACUGGAGAGGAGACUGGAAGUUUAACGGUGUAGCAGUGAAAUGCGUAGAGAUCGUAAGGAAGACCAGUGGCGAAGGCGGCCUUCUGG
rnacentral:rRNA from 1 species